rnacentral:rRNA from 1 species
GAUGAACGCUGGCGGCGUGCUUAACACAUGCAAGUCGAACGGAAAUAUUAUGUAGGAAGCUAAGAGUUUACUUGAAGUGGAAUUUUUAAUAUUUUAGUGGCGGACGGGUGAGUAACGCGUGGAUAACCUACCUUAUACUGGGGGAUAACACUUAGAAAUAGGUGCUAAUACCGCAUAAGCGCACAGAACCGCAUGGUUUGGUGUGAAAAACUCCGGUGGUAUGAGAUGGAUCCGCGUCUGAUUAGUUAGUUGGUGAGGUAAUGGCUCACCAAGACAGCGAUCAGUAGCCGGCCUGAGAGGGUGAACGGCCACAUUGGGACUGAGACACGGCCCAAACUCCUACGGGAGGCAGCAGUGGGGAAUAUUGCACAAUGGGGGAAACCCUGAUGCAGCGACGCCGCGUGAGUGAAGAAGUGUUUCGGCACGUAAAGCUCUAUCAGCAAGGAAGAAAAUGACGGUACUUGACUAAGAAGCCCCGGCUAACUACGUGCCAGCAGCCGCGGUAAUAC